rnacentral:rRNA from 1 species
AUUGAACGCUAGCGGCAGGCCUAACACAUGCAAGUCGAACGAGUGGCGGACGGGUGAGUAAUGUCUGUGAACCUGCCUGGUGGAGGGGGAUAACUACUGGAAACGGUAGCUAAUACCGCAUACCAUAAGAUGUGCCCAGAUGGGAUUAGAUAGUUGGGGGGGUAACGGCUCACCAAGGCCACGAUCCCUAGCUGGUUUGAGAGGAUGACCAGCCAAACUGGAACUGAGACACGGUCCAGACUCCUACGGGAGGCAGCAGUGGGGAAUAUGGCACAAUGGGCGCAAGUCUGAUGCAGCCAUGCCGCGUGUAUGAAGAAGGCCUUCGGGUUGUAAAGUACUUUAAGCGGGGAGGCGUUACCCGCAUAAGAAGCACCGGCUAACUCCGUGCCAGCCGCCGCGGUAAUUC